CCUACGGGAGCCAGCAGUGAGGAAUAUUGGUCAAUGGACGAGAGUCUGAACCAGCCAAGUAGCGUGAAGGAUGACUGCCCUAUGGGUUGUAAACUUCUUUUAUAUGGGAAUAAAAUGUUCCACGUGUGGGAUUUUGUAUGUACCAUAUGAAUAAGGAUCGGCUAACUCCGUGCCAGCAGCCGCGGUAAUACGGAGGAUCCGAGCGUUAUCCGGAUUUAUUGGGUUUAAAGGGAGCGUAGGUGGAUUGUUAAGUCAGUUGUGAAAGUUUGCGGCCCAACCGUAAAAUUGCAGUUGAAACUGGCAGGCUGGAGUGCAGUAGAGGUGGGCGGAAUUCGUGGUGUAGCGGUGAAAUGCUUAGAUAUCACGAAGAACUCCGAUUGCGAAGGCAGCUCACUGGACUGCAACUGACACUGAGGCUCGAAAGUGUGGGUAUCAAACAGGAUUAGAUACCCCAGUAGUC
rnacentral:rRNA from 1 species